CCUACGGGAGGCAGCAGUAGGGAACCUUCCACAAUGGGCGAAAGCCUGAUGGAGCAACGCCGCGUGAGUGAUGAAGGCCUUCGGGUUGUAAAACUCUGUCAUUCGGGACGAACCGGAGUCUGAGGAAAUGCAGACUCUCUGACGGUACCGGAGGAGGAAGCCCCGGCUAACUACGUGCCAGCAGCCGCGGUAAUACGUAGGGGGCAAGCGUUGUCCGGAUUCACUGGGCGUAAAGCGCGCGCAGGCGGUGAUGUAAGUCUGAGGUGAAAACCCGAAGCUCAACUUCGGGACUGCCUUGGAUACUGCGUCACUUGAGGAUAGGAGAGGCAAGGGGAAUUCCACGUGUAGCGGUGAAAUGCGUAGAGAUGUGGAGGAACACCUGUGGCGAAGGCGCCUUGCUGGCCUAUUUCUGACGCUGAGGCGCGAAAGCGUGGGGAGCAAACAGGAUUAGAUACCCUGGUAGUCCACGCUGUAAACGAUGAGUGCUAGGUGUAGGUGGGCUCAUACCCAUCUGUGCCGAAGCUAACGCAUUAAGCACUCCGCCUGGGGAUACGGUCGCGAAGACUGAAACUCAAAUGAAUUGACGGCUUGAGACGNGCGAGCGCACGAGGGAGAG
rnacentral:rRNA from 1 species